UACGUAGGGGGCAAGCGUUGUCCGGAAUCAUUGGGCGUAAAGAGCGUGUAGGCGGCCAGAAAAGUCCGCUGUGAAAACUCGAGGCUCAACUUCGAGCUGUCGGUGGAAACUUUCUGGCUAGAGUCCGGAAGAGGAGAAUGGAAUUCCUGGUGUAGCGGUGAAAUGACGCAGAUAUCAGGAAGAACACCCGUGGCGAAGGCGGUUCUCUGGGACGGUACUGACGCUGAGACGCGAAAGCGUGGGGAGCGAACAGG
rnacentral:rRNA from 1 species